CCUACGGGUGGCAGCAGUGGGGAAUAUUGCACAAUGGGGGACACCCUGAUGCAGCGACGCUGCGUGAGUGAAGAAGUAAUUCUUUACGUAAAGCUCUAUCAGCAGGGAAGAAACACUGACCUUACGGUCAGCAGACGGUACCUGAGUAAGAAGCCCCGGCUAACUACGGGCCAGCAGCCGCGGUAAUACGUAGGGGGCAAGCGUUAUCCGGAUUUACUGGGUGUAAAGGGAGCGUAGACGGUGCGCCAAGUCUGGUGUGAAAUGCCGCAGCUUACCUGCGGAACUGCUUUUGAAACUGGCGAACUAGAGUGCGGGAGGGGUAAGCGGAAUUCCUAGUGUAGCGGUGAAAUGCGUAGAGAUUAGGAGGAACACCGAUGGCGAAGGCGGCUUACUGGACCGUAACUGACGUUGAGGCUCGAAAGCGUGGGGAUCAAACAGGAUUAGAUACCCGUGUAGUC
rnacentral:rRNA from 1 species